AGUGAACGCUGGCGGUAGGCCUAACACAUGCAAGUCGAACGGCAGCACCGUAAGAGCUUGCUCUUACGGGUGGCGAGUGGCGGACGGGUGAGGAAUACAUCGGAAUCUACUUUUUCGUGGGGGAUAACGUAGGGAAACUUACGCUAAUACCGCAUACGACCUACGGGUGAAAGCAGGGGAUCUUCGGACCUUGCGCGAUUGAAUGAGCCGAUGUCGGAGUAGCUAGUUGGCGGGGUAAAGGCCCACCAAGGCGACGAUCCGUAGCUGGUCUGAGAGGAUGAUCGGCGACACUGGAACUGAGACACGGUCCAGACUCCUACGGGAGGCAGCAGUGGGGAAUAUUGGACAAUGGGCGCAAGCCUGAUCCAGCCAUACCGCGUGGGUGAAGAAGGCCUUCGGGUUGUAAAGCCCUUUUGUUGGGAAAGAAAAGCAGCAGGUUAAUACCCCGCUGUUCUGACGGUACCCAAAGAAUAAGCACCGGCUAACUUCGUG
rnacentral:rRNA from 1 species